rnacentral:lncRNA from 1 species
AGAUCAGUUGUAGCUCUUCCCUCAGAAUAUUCCCCAAGGUUUAUCAAUCCAUGGAACUUAUAGCACAAGACCUAUUUCAACUGGCAUUGUUAGUAUUAACUUGGUAUUUAUGAGAGAUUCAGAUCCAAUCUAUUAAGCAUGCACAGACAGAUAAUAGAUAGAGCAAAUGUAACCAAUAUAGAGCAAAUCUAGACUAUGCAUAUGUUGUAAUUCUGAGCAUGGAUAACAAAGCAACACAGAUAUGAUCUUAGUAAAAAGCAUAUUUAAAUCUACACCUCUGGUCCAGAUCCCGAAACCCCC